rnacentral:misc_RNA from 1 species
GAAAUGCGAUAAGUAAUGUGAAUUGCAGAAUUCAGUGAAUCAUCGAAUCUUUGAACGCACCUUGCGCUCCUUGGUAUUCCUUGGAGCAUGCCUGUUUGAGUAUCAUGAAAUCUUCAAAGUAAAUCUUUUGUUAACUCAAUUGGUUUCUACUUUGGUAUUGGAGGUCUUUGCAGCUUCACACCUGCUCCUCUUUGUUCAUUAGCUGGAUCUCAGUGUUAUGCUUGGUUCCACUCGGCGUGAUAAGUUAUCUAUCGCUGAGGACACUGUAAAAGGUGGCCAAGGUAAAUGCAGAUGAACCGCUUCUAAUAGUCCAUUGACUUUGACAAUACUUUUAUGAUCUGAUCUCAAAUCAGGUAGGACUACCCGCUGAACUUAAGC